GGCCUUCAGGUGCGGCUGGGGGCGACAUGAGGGGAGGCAACCCUGCAGGUCCAUCCACGGGAGGGGCCUGUGGGCCAGCAGAGAGGGCAGAGUGUGCAGUGUGCAGUUUGCGGCAUGUGGUCUGAGCUGGACGUGAGGGUGUCAUUGACACUCAUGUCCUGUUUAGAGCUCCCACCCUGGAUGAGAUGACCAGGAGUGGAUGGGGCUAGAGAGGAGAGGGGCCAAGGGCCAAGGCUGGACCCCAGCAUGAGGAGGAGGUGCCCA
rnacentral:lncRNA from 1 species